rnacentral:rRNA from 1 species
GGGUUGUGAGGUUAAGCGACUAAGCGUACACGGUGGAUGCCCUGGCAGUCAGAGGCGAUGAAGGGCGUGCUAAUCUGCGAUAAGCGCCGGUAAGGUGAUAUGAACCGUUAUAACCGGCGAUACCCGAAUGGGGAAACCCAGUGUGACUCGUCACACUAUCAUUAACUGAAUCCAUAGGUUAAUGAGGCGAACCGGGGGAACUGAAACAUCUAAGUACCCCGAGGAAAAGAAAUCAACCGAGAUUCCCCCAGUAGCGGCGAGCGAACGGGGAGGAGCCCAGAGCCUGAAUCAGCAUGUGUGUUAGUGGAAGCGUCUGGAAAGACGCGCGAUACAGGGUGACAGCCCCGUACACAAAAGCGCAUGUGUUGUGAGCUCGAUGAGUAGGGCGGGACACGUGGUAUCCUGUCUGAAUAUGGGGGGACCAUCCUCCAAGGCUAAAUACUCCUGACUGACCGAUAGUGAACCAGUACCGUGAGGGAAAGGCGAAAAGAACCCCGGCGAGGGGAGUGAAAAAGAACCUGAAACCGUGUACGUACAAGCAGUGGGAGCACAGGUUUACCUGUGUGACUGCGUACCUUUUGUAUAAUGGGUCAGCGACUUAUAUUCUGUAGCAAGGUUAACCGAAUAGGGGAGCCGGAGGGAAACCGAGUCUUAAUUGGGCGUUAAGUUGCAGGGUAUAGACCCGAAACCCGGUGAUCUAGCCAUGGGCAGGUUGAAGGUUGGGUAACACUAACUGGAGGACCGAACCGACUAAUGUUGAAAAAUUAGCGGAUGACCUGUGGCUGGGGGUGAAAGGCCAAUCAAACCGGGAGAUAGCUGGUUCUCCCCGAAAGCUAUUUAGGUAGCGCCUCGUGAACUCAUCUCCGGGGGUAGAGCACUGUUUCGGCUAGGGGGCCAUCCCGGCUUACCAACCCGAUGCAAACUGCGAAUACCGGAGAAUGUUAUCACGGGAGACACACGGCGGGUGCUAACGUCCGUCGUGAAGAGGGAAACAACCCAGACCGCCAGCUAAGGUCCCAAAGUCAUGGUUAAGUGGGAAACGAUGUGGGAAGGCCCAGACAGCCAGGAUGUUGGCUUAGAAGCAGCCAUCAUUUAAAGAAAGCGUAAUAGCUCACUGGUCGAGUCGGCCUGCGCGGAAGAUGUAACGGGGCUAAA